rnacentral:rRNA from 1 species
AUUGAACGCUGGCGGAAUGCUUUACACAUGCAAGUCGAGCGGCAGCGCGGCCUUCGGGCUGGCGGCGAGCGGCGAACGGGUGAGUAAUGCAUCGGAACAUGCCCAGUCGUGGGGGAUAACACUUCGAAAGAAGUGCUAAUACCGCAUACGUCCUGAGGGGGAAAGCGGGGGAUCGCAAGACCUCGCGCGAUUGGAGUGGCCGAUGUCAGAUUAGCUAGUUGGUGGGGUAAAGGCCUACCAAGGCGACGAUCUGUAGCUGGUCUGAGAGGAUGAUCAGCCACACUGGGACUGAGACACGGCCCAGACUCCUACGGGAGGCAGCAGUGGGGAAUUUUGGACAAUGGGGGCAACCCUGAUCCAGCCAUUCCGCGUGAGUGAAGAAGGCCUUCGGGUUGUAAAGCUCUUUCGGCAGGAACGAAACUGUGGGCUCUAACAUAGUCCGCUAAUGACGGUACCUGAAGAAGAAGCGCCGGCUAACUACGUG